UACAGAGGUGGCAAGCGUUGUUCGGAAUUACUGGGCGUAAAGGGCGAGUAGGUGGCCAUCUAAGUCAGACGUGAAAUCCCCCGGCUUAACCUGGGAACUGCGUCUGAUACUGGACGGCUUGAGUAUGGGAGAGGAACGUAGAAUUCCAGGUGUAGCGGUGAAAUGCGUAGAUAUCUGGAGGAAUACCGGUGGCGAAGGCGGCGUUCUGGACCAUUACUGACACUGAAUCGCGAAAGCUAGGGAG
rnacentral:rRNA from 1 species